UUUGAACAGUCAAACUGUUAUAAUACCCAAAAUGGAGACAUAGGCUCAUUAAAUCCGUCUCUCAAAAUUCUACUGUGAAUACUGAAAAGGACAGGUCUCCUAAAUGGCACUGUAACUUCACGAAAUAGUGCCAAAGACAUACAAUUUAGGGGGUUUGAACUUAGUGGCACAUGUGAAAUAUACAAAAUGCCCAGCAAAAAUGCAUUCCAUGUGUAAAAAAUGCACAAAAUUAUUUUUUACCAUAUACUUUGGCAUAUAUUGGAGAAAAAAUGGGGGCAUGUUAAGGCACAAUAUGCUCCUUAUGAGAUACCCUAGAGGGUCUACUUUUAUAAAUGGUAGGCCUUUGUGGGGGUUUUUUUUUUUGAACAGUCAAGCUGUUAUAAUACCCCAAAUGGAGACAUAGGCUCAUUAAAUCCGUCUCUCAAAAUUCUACUGUGAAUUCUGAAAAGGACAGGUAUCCUGUAUGGCACUGUAGCUUCACGAAAUAGUGCCAAAGACAUACAAUGGGGGUGUCAUUUUACUCAGCAGAUGUAACUGAACACAAGAUAAAACUUUGUACAGAAAUAGCACACACCAACUUUACAAAAU